GUGGAGUACGUGCCGGAGAAGGCCGACCUGGACGACGCCAUCCUCGCUGACUUCAAGAACAUCUUCGACAAGUUUACCUUCAAGGACUCCUCCGCUGCCGCCGAGGACGAUGAUAAGAAGGAUGAGGCUGGCACUAAUGCGGUGAAGAAGGGGGACGGAUCUGACUCGGACGACGACACACAGGAGGCCCAACAAAAGAAGGAAGGAGGCGUAUCCAAUAAACAGAAGAAACUGCAACGGAGGAUGAAGAUUGCAAAGUUGAAACAGAUAUGCGCCAGGCCGGAUGUGGUUGAGGUAGCACCUCUCCUAUUUUACCUAUGCUUAAUUGAAUUUGCCGCCUUUCUUCCUCCCAUAUUUGUCCAUCUAGCAUUGCAUUGCCAAGGUCGGCCAGUAGUAGGAUCUUGAUAGAUUCGAAGUGAAUCCAGAGAUGU